AUCCAGCCCAGGGCGAGACCGACGGGAAGAGCGGCGUGAGACGGGGCACCGCGGAGAUGGCAGUGGAGGAGACGGACAGACGUCUUCACCUCUCUUUCAUCUCCCGGCUGAGUUCUUCCACCCCACCACUGCUGCAGUUCCCCAGGGCAGCCCAGCCAUCGGAGCGGCCCAGCCGGGCUCCAGACACGCAUCUCCGGCCUCAUGGGCUUCUCUCAGGUCCCCAGGGGCCAACAGCAGGGUCAUGGGCUCUCAGACGUCCCACAGUAACUCCUCGCUGGCCACGGGCAGCUCGGUGAGCAGCCUGCAGACCAUGCUGGAGGAGGGCGUCUCUACGCUACCCCUGAUCUGCAGAACCCACGUCCCUCCUCCAGAACUCAGCCAGAGAUCCCGCACUCCACAGUCUCUGCUCAACCUCCAG
rnacentral:lncRNA from 1 species